UGGGGCUUAUCUUCAGAGGGUUUUACGUUCCACUUGAAACUGUGCCUGUUGUGAAAAGCAGCAUUUCAGUCACGGUUUUUGGUGGAGUGUGAAUCUCUCAGCAGCAGACCGAGAAG
rnacentral:precursor_RNA from 14 species